GGUCCUAUAGUCUAGUGGUUAGGACGUUGGAUUUUGAUGACCCAUCAAAACAUCUUCCGAAGUCCCCGGUUCGAACCCGGGUAGGACCU
rnacentral:tRNA from 2 species